rnacentral:rRNA from 1 species
UACGUAGGGGGCAAGCGUUGUCCGGAUUUAUUGGGCGUAAAGAGCGUGUAGGCGGUUUGGUAGGUCCGCUGUGAAAACUCGAGGCUCAACCUCGAGACGCCGGUGGAAACCAUCAGACUAGAGUCCGGAAGAGGAGAGUGGAAUUCCUGGUGUAGCGGUGAAAUGCGCAGAUAUCAGGAAGAACACCGGUGGCGAAGGCGGCCCCCUGGACCGGUACUGACGCUGAGGCGCGAAAGCGUGGGUAGCAAACGGG